CAAAAGGUUCUUUUCAGAACCAUUUUUUUUUUAAUUUUCUCUAAUG
rfam:Stegodyphus mimosarum contig59237, whole genome shotgun sequence.